AUUGGACGCUGGCGGCAUGCUUUACACAUGCAAGUCGAACGGUAACAGGCCGCAAGGUGCUGACGAGUGGCGCACGGGUGAGUAAUGCAUCGGAACGUGCCCAGUCGUGGGGGAUAACUACUCGAAAGAGUAGCUAAUACCGCAUACGAUCUAUGGAUGAAAGCGGGGGACCGUAAGGCCUCGCGCGAUUGGAUCGGCCGAUGUCAGAUUAGGUAGUUGGUGGGGUAAAGGCUCACCAAGCCAACGAUCUGUAGCUGGUCUGAGAGGACGACCAGCCACACUGGGACUGAGACACGGCCCAGACGCCUACGGGAGGCAGCAGUGGGGAAUUUUGGACAAUGGGCGCAAGCCUGAUCCAGCAAUGCCGCGUGCAGGAAGAAGGCCUUCGGGUUGUAAACUGCUUUUGUACGGAACGAAACGGCUCUGGUUAAUACCCGGGGCUAAUGACGGUACCGGAAGAAUAAGCACCGGCUAACUACGUG
rnacentral:rRNA from 1 species